AGAACCUGAACCCUGAAAACACGCUGCAAGAAACACGAGCAGCUCAUUCAGGUUCUAGAAUUCUCUUGGACAAAGCAUUUGAAGCUGCCUGAGCUGAAGGAAGCAACAAGAAAAAUUAACCUCGUUAACAACUACAUCUACAGAGAUACAGAGAUCCCAGAAUAUCCUCGACCUCAGUUUCAGGUCAGUUUUCUGAAACAUGAUACAACAGUAGAAGGCUUGAAAGGAAUCCGGCAGGAUGGAGGCUUUAGAGAUCCACAUGGAGGAUCUCUGGUUUGGUGGAGUCUGUCUGUGAGAGAUGAAGAUGUGGGAGCUGCAGAGAGGAAGAUGAUGGAGGAGGAGUACCGCGGUAUGAACGGGCAGAUCAACCUGAAGAGGUUCGCCACCUCCCCAGCCUUUUCUCCAAAAUCCCGGUUGGGCCACUUCCGCUUCACCUUCCCCCUGGAGGAGGUGCUAAAGGCAUACAGUCAGCAGUUCUGCAGUGGUGGUCAGCCCGUCAUGCGGGUCUAUGAGACGGUCCUUUACAAACAGGAAAUAGUGUAUGCGGUGUUGGUCCACAGUCCAGAUGAUCAGAAGAACUUCUCACAGUAUCCUUUAUUGACUGAAGACCCGAAUGCCGUCUGCUUCUUCAGAGAGGGCAGGUUCUUCUGGAGGUCAGAGGCCAUGUGUGAGACACACCGGUUUGGUCUCUUCCAAACCAACAACAGUUUAGAGGUUAAAGGGACCUCUCACUACCAUUAUUAUGUCUGGGACAAUGUCGCCAUCGCGUUUCAUGUUAGGAAAAAGGUGCUGAAGUUUGAUGUGGAUCAGCUCAGACAGAACCUGAAGGACUGUGAGCUAGACUCUGUGACGUACAACUUCACUGACAAGCUGACUGCUGAACAAGCUAAAAAACUGAUCAGAGACUUGUGGCCAGAGUCCCCGGUGGAGAAUCUGCCCCGUCACACUGGGCUGGUGGAACUGCAGGAGAUCCAUGUUAUAGAUCCUGGGGAGUUGGCAGUGCCAGAGGCAGGUGGCUCUGUUGAAGUUGACAUAAAGCCUGUGGGACCACUCCCAGUGCACCGUGCUACUGAUAAAGUAAAAGAGGGGAGUGUUUCCAUGAAGUGCGCCAUGAAGGCCUCCCUUGGACACCAGCUGUGAUCCAGCAUGCCAUCAACCAGCUUGGCCUGGAAGAACCACCAGCUGAAAUGGAGAGGGGUGGAUGUGGAGACUUUUUCUUUUGUUCUGUUAAUUAUUGUUGUGAUUAUGUAUUUAGUUUCUUAUUAGUUCAUAGUUUUUUCAGUCACUUUAUGGUUGGUUAGAAAUCUCAUUUUACCCAUUUGUUUUUAUACUCAUUGUAUAUAUUUGGUCAGGCAUGUUUUUCCCUAUUGUUAAGGUUAUGGUAUAGUCUCAAUUGUAUUUAAGUAGGGUGUUUUUGUGAAGAAGGGAGAUUGUUUCUGGGCCGCUGCCAUGGCACUUUGCCUGUUGGUGAAAUUAAAGAAAAGAAUCAGAGCUCUGAAGAGGACUGUCUCCCUGUAGUUUUUGGGUCCAUCAACAGCUUUAAAUGCAUACUGAGGGUCCACCUUUGGCAAACCUUCACAAAGUGCAACAGGUAACAUGAAUGUACUGUGUACUUGCCCAAACAAGGUGUGGCCUCUUUUGAAAAAAUGACAUAAUUCUUCACCAAGAAGGGAUUUUUAACAAAGAUAGGGCUGGUCUCCCAAAGUAAAGCCUUCAAAGUGAGUCUUAAAGUCUCCAAUCAACUUUUUGAUAAAGUCAGAAUGAGCAGAGACAUUGAUCCAUUUAAUCUCCUUCAAUAAAGGAAAAUGUUUACAGUUCUCCUCCAGAUGCAUCUUCAGAAUGUCCAGUUUCUUCUGAAAAGACCGAACAGCUGUCACCAAGUCACAUGCAGAAUUCUUUUCCUUCAUCCAUCUUUUUUUAUGCUGUUUUGGAUAAAAGAUAUGAGCGUUAUAAAACCUCUCAGCGAUGCCUGAGAGCAGGGACACAUUCUGGCAGGAUGAACAUACCUGUCAGACCUUUUCUGGAAGCUGCUGUCCCUCUUUUCCCCUCCGAUACAGGUUCUGGCAUCGCCUCCAUACACUCAUUGAGUCACUUUUUGUGCUUGCCCAAUAUCCAUUCCACUCGUAGUGAGCACUCAUACUGUAUAAGCCCAUUGUUGUGCUGUGUGCGUCUGUGUGUUGUCUGCUCAUACUGUCCUUUCAGUUUGUGUUUUUUGUGUGGCCGCGUCGCUGACUCUGGCGGGUAAUUUGUAUCAGAAGGUUUGUGUUUUGUCUCGUAGUGCUGCUUGAUAUUGGCGCUUUUAACAAAAGCAACAGACUCCAUGUUUACACACUGGCCUUGUAGGACUCGCCGCUGGUAAAAUGAAAGCGAAAGCUUCAGUCCACUCAUCUCAAAAGACAAUAUUUUCAGAGUCCACUUUUCUCAUAUUAGACAGCACCAUCGUUCACUCAAUUACUCGAUAAAUUUAUGUCCCAACUAUGUGAACAUUAGCAUGCCGCUAUUUGCUGGUUGAAGGACCUCGGUCCACACAAAGCUGUCCUUGUGCGCGCCUGUUCAAAAAUCACUUUGGGUAAAGAUAAAUGUAAUAUCAUACUAUUUUAUUAAUGCGUGGCGGUCCGGAUAAAAGAGUGCCGGGGUCUGGACCCGGACCACGUACCACCAGGUGGGGAC
rnacentral:lncRNA from 1 species